GAGAUUUAUAGUGCUCAGGGGUUCAUCCUUGCUUUGCCUACGUGCACUCUUAAAUAGUUUCCUAUUGGAACAUGCAUUGUUCCUUUUUAUUUGAUAAAUAUUUGCAAGAGUUCAUACAAUCACCAAUCCACAAUAAUGUUGAGAAUAAUAAAAAUAUCCAAUUUAGACCUUGACUUGUAUACAAUAUAAUGCCAAAAUCUUAUGCCUAAUAUGUACUCAAUUAAUGCUUCUUGAAUCUUCCAAUAUCACGAAUCUGCUUCAAACCUUCAUGUGUAGCAAUAAA
rnacentral:lncRNA from 1 species